rnacentral:lncRNA from 1 species
UCAUCCCAAAUCAGUUUGUUCACUUCCUCCCCCUCUUUCCCAUCCCUUCCCACUCCUCCUCCCCCUAAUUAGAUUUAGAGUGAAGGGCUAAUGGAGUAUUGCUGCGAAGGUCUAGGCAAGCUUCCCAAAGUGCUUACCUAAGGGGAGAGUGCUCGGACUAAUAGAUGUGCAUUAAGGCUCUACAUCCUCAUGGUCCUGAGAGCUGCAGGAGGGGCUGGGAACACAGCCAGAGUGAGUUCCAGAUCUCAGUACUGUCAGAUCUCAAUAUUUUCAGCUCUCUCCAGGUUUCCUGCUGGGGCAUCCUAUAGUUGGGCCAUUACUGCUGUCGGAGGUACUCUUAAGGAUGGGUUCCCAAUCUAGCUCGCCCUUUGGCAAGUUAUUCCCAGGAGGUAGGAAGUGGUCCUUUCUCAGCUGUAGACGAGAGCUUUCUUGCUUGUGAGGUUAGGAGACUUUUUCCCCAUGCUUUGUGCAGCACUUAGCACAACAGGGCUUCUUUAGUCCCUUGGCGAUGCUCUAUAAAGGGAAGAGCCCGCACCAGCACUUUGAGCAUUGUCACCCAAAGGUGCCAUGGGGUCUGUGCUGGUGGGACAGAGCAUUUCAGGAGCUGUUCACCUGUUUUCAUCUCAGAAACACUGAGAGCUUUAUUUUUCUCUGCUGAUACUUUGGCUUUAAAUUCUCCUGUGUAUUUUGCAGGGCAUAUUGAGGCUGGAGAAAUGCAGGAUGUUGAGGACACAUGCAGGGCUUUGGCUUGCAGUGAUGAUCAUAUACAGUGGUGAUCAGUAGGUCUUUGUCACCUGUGGUUUUGUUCUUGAACCUGUACUCACAUGCAGAAUCAUAAUCAGAUCAUCAGAAUCUGGAUCAGAUCAACCAGGCAGCUCACCACUAGUGUUGACUGCAACCUCCAAGUGUUGUGCGCUUCAACAUCUCGACCCUCGGAGGGCAUUGCACAGAUGCCCCCUGUAAAUGGAUCAGAACUGGGAGGCACUGGGAGAAAAAAGGCAGUGAUGCUGAGCCCACGGUGAUGCUCUCACCUUUGCCAAGGACCAGGUGACCUCAUCGUCGCUGCUGUCC